AUGGUGGACAGCAAAGUCGCAUCAAAUCUGUCAUGCAAUUAAGAGCAGAUCUACGGCCUGUCUGUAUAUCCAAUAAGUAAUCUUUAGCACAUCUUCCGUUCGGGAUACUGUAUCUAAACAUGACGACACCCAUUAUUACAGCUAUAUAUUAUAAUAAUUUUGCAUAGUAUUUAUUUGCAAUUAGGUCCUCUGAUUAAGCUUAUAAAAUUAACCACCGCCUAUAUCGGCACCGAUGUCACAAUCAUCAGUUAGUGUCUACAACCAUAUAAUCUACUCUAUAAAUUAGGGAUGAGUGGAGUUAUUUAUCC
rnacentral:lncRNA from 1 species